rnacentral:rRNA from 1 species
GUGCCAGCAGCCGCGGUAAUACGGAGGGUGCGAGCGUUGUUCGGAAUUACUGGGCGUAAAGCGCGCGCAGGCGGGCGUGCAAGUCGGGGGUGAAAUCUCAGGGCUCAACCCUGGGACUGCUUCCGAUACUGCAUGUCUAGGGAUUGGUAGAGGUCGGUGGAAUUCCGGGUGUAGUGGUGGAAUGCGUAGAUAUUUGGAGGAAUAUCUGAGGCGAAGGCGGCCGGCUGGGCCUGGUCUGACGCUGAGGUGCGAAAGCGUGGGGAGCGAACAGGAUUAGAUACCCUGGUAGUCCACGCCGUAAACGAUGGGCACUAGAUGCCGGUGGGAACGACCCCUUCGGUGUCGCAGCUAACGCAUUAAGUGCCCCGCCUGGGGAGUAUGGCCGCAAGGCUGAA